rnacentral:tRNA from 1 species
AGCCUUAUAUUCAAAAUGAUAUUAAAUUGCAAAUUUAAAGGUGAUCUUUCUAGAGAUUUAAGGCUU